CACCAGAGUGUCCUUCUAUCAUCAUGCUCCUGCGCCACACAACUGAAGUGCUCUCCAGUUAGAGUAUGGCUAUUCUACGGUGAUAGACUACACUCCUAUUUAAUAGGAUUUGGCAAGAAAAAUAUGGAGAGACUAAAAGGAAAAAUAAACUGCUUUCACUGGAGAUACAUCUAAAGAACAAUUGGUUAACUGAAACAAUUUUCCUUUGACAUUUAAUGCCUCCCUUGAACAAAAGGUUUCCAAGCUGCUCCACAGCUUGACUCUGAAUGAGUUCAACGAUUAAUUUAUCUGACGAAAGGUGCUCCAUGCUUCACUAUGUCCUCGAACAAAGAGAAAUUGAUUCUUCAAUAUCAUUGUUUUCACAUGAACGUGGAUCAUUUGCAGAAAGUUGGCAAAGGCCAAAUGGGCAAAUUCAGAAGAGAAUCCCUAUUAUGUCCCAUGUGCCCGCACCUUAUGAAGCUUCAGAUCUUCCCAGUUGGCUUUCUUAUUAAUAAACUCUUUUAUUAAUUUUUGUGAUAAUGUAUAAAGUCAACCCUAAUGGUAGCACUUUUUAAAGAUGAUGAAGAUCGUUCUAGAAAUAAACCCAGUUCCUAAAAUGGCA
rnacentral:lncRNA from 1 species